ensembl:lncRNA
GAAAUUCUGUACUUUUUUUCCCCACAGGCCUGGGGUUUUAUCUCAGAUGUGAAGCUCCUAAACCAGAAACUCCUGUUUCCAAGGGCACCCGAGGAGAUGAAGUUUUCAGGCUGUCACAGGAACAGACACUCCUAACACGUGAAAGCCGGCAUCUGGGACAUCCACGAGGGCUGCUUGGCUAAGGACAACAGGAUCAGGACCCUCCCCGCCGGGGACGUCACCGAUGGACUGUGGACACUUAGCAGAGAGCAGCGAGGAGAUCUCCAGCCCGGGCGCAGAGGCCGAUUCCCUGCUGCCUUCCUCAGCCGGC